rnacentral:rRNA from 1 species
UACGUAGGGUGCGAGCGUUAAUCGGAAUUACUGGGCGUAAAGCGUGCGCAGGCGGUUUUGUAAGUUUGUCGUGAAAGCCCCGGGCUCAACCUGGGAAUUGCGAUGAAGACUGCAAGGCUUGAAUCUGGCAGAGGGGGGUAGAAUUCCACGUGUAGCAGUGAAAUGCGUAGAGAUGUGGAGGAACACCGAUGGCGAAGGCAGCCCCCUGGGCCAAUACUGACGCUCAUGCACGAAAGCGUGGGGAGCAAACAGG